AGGUGGAGCUUCCCCCCUCGGGGUUCAAGGACCUGGGGAGACAGGGCAGCAGGAACCUUAGUUUUCUUUUUUCUUUUUGUGGGUGUUGAGGCCACUAGGCCUUGUAUCAUAUAUACAAUGUUAAUGUCGAAUGUAGAUAUUAAGCUUUUUUCCUAAGUGUCUUGUUUUCUUUUUCCUUAUGCCGAUCCGACCUCAGCAGCGCGAGGUCGGGUAAGCUAUUUAAAGUUAUUGCGCUAGCCAGAGUCCCCGAGCCUAAGUCCUUUUCCUUUUUCCUUAGUUAGUUUUCAGAAGUCUGGACCCGUCCCCCGAAUCUAAGGUGAGUAGGAGCGGUCUUUGCUCGUGAGCGCUGAUCUUUCCUAGAGCUCAUGCCUUAAGAUUUAAGGGGUGAGUUUCCGGUUUCUUAAAUCUUUUUAGGAGAAAGGAGGA
rnacentral:lncRNA from 1 species